GCCACUGCCGGCACCGGUUUCUCAGCGUCGGCCGCCGUCGCCGUGCCCUAGCACCGCCGCCGACACAUCCCCUCACCUCUUGCCGCCGGCCACAGACCGAGCAGUGCCGACCAUCACUGGAGACUGCUUGUUUCCGUGCCCUAACACUGCCUUGCUGCCCUCUUUUGUGCUCUGGAUCAGCAAUCGGCCACUGCAGCCUCCCUUGUGCGCUGUUUGGUUGAUCGCAGCCUAGCUCCUUGCCCUAAAUCUGCCGAGCCCUAAUUUGUUCUUCACUGCCGUGCCCUAGGUUUUCCCCUUGCUGGUGAGUGAGGUUUGGUGUCAACGGGAUUAAGCUGUUGUUGGAGCUGAGGAAUCUGAUCAUUAUUCGUACACUUAGGACAUUGAUUCGAGACGGUGUCUCGACGAGGGAUCAAUUUCGGAUUGGAC